rnacentral:rRNA from 1 species
GUAGUCUGCAACCCGACUACAUGAAGCUGGAAUCGCUAGUAAUCGCGGAUCAGAAUGCCGCGGUGAAUACGUUCCCGGGUCUUGUACACACCGCCCGUCACACCAUGGGAGUCGGAAAUGCCCGAAGUCUGUGACCCAACCAUUAAGGAGGGAGCAGCCGAAGGCAGGUCGGAUGACUGGGGUGAAGUCGUAACAAGGUAAC